AUGAAUCAGCAUAUUGGAGACAGAUUCAAAAUCUGGUUGAAUGAUUCCACAAUAACAACCACCCACUCAGUGUCAACAAAACCAAAGAGCUGAAUAUUGACUACGGGAGGAAGAAAGUGGAGGACCAUGAGCCAGUACUUAUUAGGGGAUCAGAGGUGGAGGGAGUCGACAACUGUAAAUUCCUUGGCGUUAUAAUUUCAGAGGAUCUGUCCCGGGUCCAGCACCUCUACAGCAGUUUGCCCAAGAACUCCCAGAAGUGUCAGAAACAUCACAGGAAAUGCCCUCACGACCAUUAAGCACAUCUACAAAGACUGCUGCCUAAAGGAAGCCGCAUCAAUCAUCAAGAAACCCCACCAUCCAGAAGCUCUCUUCUCACUGCUUCCAUUGGGAAGGAGGUACAGGAGCCUUAAUCCCACACCACCAGGUUCAGGAACAGUUAAAUAUGCACCUCUCAACCAUCCAGAUCCUGAACCAGCGUGGAUGACUUCUCUCACCUCCACUGAAUUGAUUCCACAACCUAUGGAUUCACUUUCAAUGACUCUACAACUCAUAUUCUCAGAUGUACACUCAGCUUUCCUUCUCUGUGGAAAGUCUAAAGGGUGGCCGUGCAGCAGGUAGUCUUUAUGAAGAUAAGCAGCAUCAUCAAAGAGCCUGUGGUAAUAAACCUCAUGAACAUGUAUAGGAAUAAAAAGAAGCUAAUCCAAAUGGAAGUUUAAGAGGAAGAUCCUCUGUCAAGAUCCACUUGGAUCUGCCAUAACCGGACUCUUCCCAAGCAUAGACUGUAAUACAACAGUAGACUGAUCCCCGGGCCGCACCAGUUCAAUGCCAAGAGUCGGAAACCUACUCAUUAAGCUUUGAGCAGGCUAAAUCUUACACAAGUAUAGCACCCCUAUCAAAAUGGAUGGAAGGAACUGCUAUCUGAGUAAAGUAAGGAGAGAUUAUUAUAAGGAAAGCUUCAAAGCACAAAGAAAAUUUGUUAUCAAAGUUCAUAUAUGUCACCAUAUGCCCCUGAGAUUAGUUUUCAUACAGGCAUAGUCAGUAUAUCCAAUAACCAUAAUAACAUCAAUGAAAGACCACACCCAACAGGGUAGACAACCAGUGUGCAAAAGACAACAAACUGCAAAUACAAACGAAAACCAGAAAUAAUAAUAAUAAGAAAUAAAUAUCAAGAACAUGAGAUGAAAAUUCCAUGAAAGUGAAUCCAUAGGUUGUGGGAACAGUUCAGUGAUGGGGCAAUUGAAGUUGAGUUAAGUUAUUCCUUCUGGUUCAAGAGCCUGAUGGUUGAGAAUGAGCCUCUGAGAAGUUUCAACAAUUCAGCUCUGAAUUUAAACAAAUAGAUGGUAAAUUGGAUUCUAUUCAGCAAACACUUAAUGAACACGAUAAACGUAUAAAAAAUAAUGAAGCAAUGUUGUCGUCUCUGGAAACGGAAGUGGAUGAACUGCAAAAGCUUUGUGAAAAGCAAUCAAAGUCCAAUGAAAAGUUAAGACAGAAGAUUAUCAACAUAGUUUCGCUUCCACUAAUGUUUUAUACUGAUGGAGAUGUUCUCUAGAAACGUGUUCAUUCAUUACUUCAAAAAGUAAUAAAGCCUUUGUUUCAGCUCUAUCUGGGCUUAGCUCACCUAACAUCAGAGGGAUCAAACCCAACAUCCUGAAGUUAUCUAUGGUAUAAUCCUACACUACAAAAACAAUUCCUCAACCAAUCGGGUGAAGAUUGUCAUGUGAUAGUAGUCUUAGAGUGCAUUUUCUACAGUGCAGACAGAUAAGGUUAUUUUCAAUAUUGUCUGAUUCUGUUCUGCAGGCCUAUGUACGACCAUAAUAAAACCAUAAGACGUAGGAGCAGAAUUAGGCUAUUUGGCCAAUCAAGUCUGCUCUAGAGUCCAUAUUGAAAUAUUAAUUAUCAUUCUCCUGCCUUCUCUCCAUAACCUUGACCACCCUUUGAAAUGGAACUGAUGGAGAGCAGGAGAGCUGUGCUUUAUCCAUAGGGACAAAGCAGGCCUCCAGACAAAGAGACAGUGUGAUCAGAUGACUAUAAAGGCUGAAACUAAGAGUUAGUAUAUCCCAAGGAUCUGGAUGAUAUGUUACAGAAUGCAUUCACAUUCAUUCUCUACUUUAAUAAUGGAAUUUCAAAUGACAUAUCCUACUAAACUCAUCCGAGGCAUCAAUGCAACACUCUAAUCCCACUCAUCUAUCAACAAGUUCAAGACUUCCAUCCAAAGUGUACCAUCACUGCCUUUACUUGCUGUGAGCCUCUUGCCGGUAACUUACAGCAGUUUGCUCACACUAUUAGCUAUUCGAUCAGAGCAGGCAAAAUGAAACUGAUGACAUGGCACUCACUAGUAUAUGUCCCCGUGAUUCUCACGAUAAUGCAAAGUGUCACCAUUGGUGACAUGGUACCAAGAAGGUGUAUCAGAAUCUCUACUUUCCUUUAAGAUUUGUCAAGACUGAAGAACUUCUGCAGGUGUACAGUGGAGAUCAUCAUUGUACAAAUCUCCAUGAUGAUCACCAUGGAGAUCAAAUGAUUUAAUUGUAGCCUUUUAUGGAAACUUCAGUGCAAGAGAUUACAGAGAGUGGUGGAACCCAUCCAGUUCUAUCACAGAGGCAGAUCUUCCCACCAUCGGGGACACCUACAAGAGGCAAUGUCUCAGGAAGUUGACAUCCAUCAUUUAAGAUUCCCAUCACUUGGGUUAUGCCCCUUUCUCUUUGCUGCCAAAGGGCAGGUACAGAAGCCUAAACACCCACAUUUUAUGAUUCAACAACAAAUUCUUCCCUACUGUCACCAGGUUCUUGAACUGAUUUGAAAAACCCCAGUUCUAUCUUGGAAUAUACUUCCCUCAACUUGCUUUUAAUUUUUGUUUAUUCUGCCAUGUAAAAUUUAUGUUAACUUAAGUCAAGGUCAUUUAUAUUUGACUUUUUCAAAAUGUAAUAUGCUGCUGCAAAAAAAAAAACAUGGCAUUUAUACCCUGGACAUUUAUGCCCUGGGCUGAGCUAAUUGACAUCAAAAGGGAAAUAUUGCUGAAAGCAGAGAAGGGAGAUGUAGUUGAGAUUCUGGAUGGGAUAAAAUAUGAUAAAAACUAGAAAAGCUUGCUGAUGAUACAAAGCUAGGGGGGAGGGUGCUCUACAGGAUGUAUAGUGCAGUGGGCUUUGUGGCAUAUUGAGAGGCUAUGUAAAUGAGCAUGGAUCCAACGGAUAAAAUAUGACUUGAGGUCACCACUUUUAGAAGGAAAAAUAGAAAUACAGAAUAUGUUUUAAAUGGUGGCAAAGUUUAAAGAUAAAACUGGAUGUUUUUGCACGUAAAAUAUUUAAAAUAACAUGCAAGACAUAAAGCAAUUUGGAUGGAAAAUGGACAUUGACUGUUAUUGCAAGGGCUAUGAAUGCAAUAGUAGAGAUACUGUAUCUGUUGUUGCGCGAACAAAGUCACCAGAGAGAAAAACUGGUAGACAUGAAAUAGUCUCUUUAUCAGACAAAAUGAGACACAGCAGGUAUCAUAUUAGACAUUUUUGGAGCAAAAACUCUCCUUGACCCAGCACUACACAACAUUUUAUAUGCUAAAAGGACAAUUUAGGACAAUUCCAUCACAAUGUUUCCUUUGAACUACACACAAUCUUCAUCCCUCCCUCUUCACACCCACACGACAGACUCCCAAAUAAGGAGUUUAAAUCAGCAUUGCCUGGCCAUCCAAUUAACUAAGAACAAUUGGUAUAUAGGAAACAAUUAUUCAGAGCUGCAUCUUAGAUUUAAUCUACCAUUCAUAUUCAGAUUUGAAGAUUGGUGGCUGUAGUUAUUUUGCUACAUGUUCUACCCCCAAAAACACUCUAACAAUAAAGAGUCUCAGCCUGAAAUGUCGACUGUUUACUCUUUUCCAUAGUUGCUGCCUGGCCUGCUGAGUUCCUCUAGCAUUUUGUGUGUGUUGCUAACAAAAUCCUCCUCCAAUCAUAUAGAGCUCUGUGAGACUAGAAUAUUGCACUCUGAUCUGAUCUUCUUACCCUCAGAAGGAUAUAGGUACCAUACUCUCCAGACCUACUUCAACCCUUCUAUGCCCACAUUCUCCUGCGUUUUGAAUAAUGUUAGGUGAUCUCAUUGUUAAGUAUAUAAUUCUUAAAAGGUCCGCAGAGGGUGAAUGACGCUUUAUCUGAAUUGGAUGUAUUGAAACAGAAGUCACAAAAUCAGUCAGGAUCAUUCAGCAGAGAGAUGAGAGGAAGUUUUUUACACCAAUAAGGGAACUGGCACAAGUUGCAUCAGUACCGUGCAACAUAUACAAUUACUAGAGUACUUUUCAAAAGUUUUAGGCUUUCUAGUUAUACAGUAUGUAUGUGCUUUAGACUUUUGCACAGUCUGUAUCUGUUGUAGUUUUAAAAGGAAGCACAGCUCAUAGCACAGGCAAAUGAGCGAGCAUGAGAUUGCUAGUAAGACAGUUUGCCACCAGCUACGAAGCUCCUACACUAUCUACCGCUUAAGAUGGCUAUUAUGUAUGUACCUUCUGGGGAUUUGCUAGUGUCAUCUUGUUUGUCCAAACAAUUUCAAUAGGAAGUGGUGAUGACCUGCAUGGAAGCCAAGUGAACGUGUGAUACUAAUCCAUCACAUAGGCAGACCGGAACAAGCCCUACCCAUAACGUUUUGACAGCUCAUUCAUUUGCAACACAGGUUUAACCAUAAAUGUGCAUGGAAUUUAGAAUUAUUCUAAGUAUUCAAAAACUAUUUGAUUUUAUGAAGAGAUUUAAUUAUUAGAAUCAGAAUCGAUUUUAAUAUCACCGUGUAUGUCAUGAGAUUUGUUAACUUAGUGGCAGCAGUGCAAUGCAAUACAUGAUAAUAAAGGAAAGAAAUACAUAAGUAAUAAGUAAAUCAA